rnacentral:rRNA from 1 species
AGGACGAACGCUGGCGGCGUGCUUAACACAUGCAAGUCGAGCGGUAAGGCCUUUCGGGGUACACGAGCGGCGAACGGGUGAGUAACACGUGGGUGAUCUGCCCUGCACUCUGGGAUAAGCCUAGGGAAACUGGGUCUAAUACCGGAUAUGACCUGCUCUCGCAGUGGGGGUGGUGGAAAGAUUUAGUCGGGUGCAGGAUGGGCCCGCGGCCUAUCAGCUUGUUGGUGGGUAAUGGCCUACCAAGGCGACGACGGGUAGCCGACCUGAGAGGGUGACCGGCCACGACUGGGACUGAGACACGGCCCAGACUCCUACGGGAGCAGCAGUGGGAAUAGUGCACAAGUGGGCGAAAGCCUGAUGCAGCGACGCCGCGUGAGGAUGGAAGGCCGUU